GACGAACGCUGGCGGCGUGCCUAACACAUGCAAGUCGAGCGAGAGACUUCGGUUUCUAGCGGCGGACGGGUGAGUAACACGUGGGUAACCUGCCUCAAAGAGGGGGAUAGCCUCCCGAAAGGGAGAUUAAUACCGCAUAAAAUUAGAUCUUCGCAUGGAGAUUUAAUUAAAGGAGCAAUCCGCUCUGAGAUGGACCCGCGGCGCAUUAGCUAGUUGGUGAGGUAACGGCUCACCAAGGCGACGAUGCGUAGCCGACCUGAGAGGGUGAUCGGCCACAUUGGAACUGAGACACGGUCCAGACUCCUACGGGAGGCAGCAGUGGGGAAUAUUGCACAAUGGGCGAAAGCCUGAUGCAGCAACGCCGCGUGAGUGAUGAAGGCCUUCGGGUUGUAAAACUCUGUCUUCUGGGACGAUAAUGACGGUACCAGAGGAGGAAGCCACGGCUAACUACGUGCCAGCCGCCGCCGUAA
rnacentral:rRNA from 1 species